rnacentral:rRNA from 1 species
GACGAACGCUGGCGGCGUGCCUAAUACAUGCAAGUCGAACGCUGAAGGGGGAGCUUGCUUCGCUGGAGUAGUUGCGAAGGGAAGAGUAGCGCGUAGGGAACCUGACUUGUAGCGGGGGACAAGUAUUGGAAACGAUAGCUAAGACAGCAUAAUAGUAGAUGUUGCAGGACAUUUGCUUGAAAGGUGCAAUUGCAUCACUACCAGAUGGACCUGCGUUGUAUUAGCUAGUUGGUGGGGUAGCGGCUCACCAAGGCGACGAUACAUAGCCGGCCUGAGAGGGGGAGCGGCCACACUGGGACUGAGACACGGACCAGCCUCCUACGGGAGGCAGCAGGAGGGAAUCUUCGGCAAUGGACGGAAGUCUGACCGAGCAAGGGCGCGCGCGUGAAGAAGGGUUUCGUAUCGGAUAGCUCUGUUGUAAGCGAAGAAAGCGUGUGUGAGUGGAAAGUUCACACUUUGACGGUAUCUUAACAGAAAGCGACGGCUAACUACGUG